rnacentral:rRNA from 1 species
UGGCGCACGGGUGAGUAACACGUAUGCAACCUGCCCCUGUCAGGGGUACAACCUUCCGAAAGGGAGGCUAAUACCGCGUAAAUCUCCGGAGGGCAUCCUGCGGGGAGGAAAGGAGAGAUCCGGACAGGGAUGGGCAUGCGGCGCAUUAGGCAGUUGGCGGGUACGGCCCACCAAACCGACGAUGCGUAGGGGUUCUGAGAGGAAGGUCCCCCACACUGGUACUGAGACACGGACCAG